UCGAGCCCGGAGAUAGCUGGUUCUCCCCGAAAUAGCUUUAGGGCUAGCCUCAAGGUGAGAGAUACGGAGGUAGAGCACUGAAUGUCCUAGGGGGUAUUGCACUUACCGAAGACUAUCAAACUCCGAAUGCCGUCAUCUUAUACUUGGGAGUCAGACUGUGGGUGAUAAGAUUCAUAGUCGAAAGGGCAACAGCCCAGAUCGUCAG
rnacentral:rRNA from 1 species